rnacentral:rRNA from 1 species
AGUUUGAUCCUGGCUCAGGAUGAACGCUAGCUACAGGCUUAACACAUGCAAGUCGAGGGGCAGCAUUUUAGUUUGCUUGCAAACUAAAGAUGGCGACCGGCGCACGGGUGAGUAACACGUAUCCAACCUGCCGAUAACUUGGGGAUAGCCUUUCGAAAGAAAGAUUAAUAUCCGAUGGUAUAUUAAAACCGCAUGGUUUUACUAUUAAAGAAUUUCGGUUAUCGAUGGGGAUGCGUUCCAUUAGUUUGUUGGCGGGGUAACGGCCCACCAAGACUACGAUGGAUAGGGGUUCUGAGAGGAAGGUCCCCCACAUUGGAACUGAGACACGGUCCAAACUCCUACGGGAGGCAGCAGUGAGGAAUAUUGGUCAAUGGACGAGAGUCUGAACCAGCCAAGUAGCGUGAAGGAUGACUGCCCUAUGGGUUGUAAACUUCUUUUAUAUGGGAAUAAAGUAUUCCACGUGUGGGAUUUUGUAUGUACCAUAUGAAUAAGGAUCGGCUAACUCCGUGCCAGCAGCCGCGGUAAUACGGAGGAUCCGAGCGUUAUCCGGAUUUAUUGGGUUUAAAGGGAGCGUAGGUGGAUUGUUAAGUCAGUUGUGAAAGUUUGCGGCUCAACCGUAAAAUUGCAGUUGAAACUGGCAGUCUUGAGUACAGUAGAGGUGGGCGGAAUUCGUGGUGUAGCGGUGAAAUGCUUAGAUAUCACGAAGAACUCCGAUUGCGAAGGCAGCUCACUAGACUGCAACUGACACUGAUGCUCGAAAGUGUGGGUAUCAAACAGGAUUAGAUACCCUGGUAGUCCACACAGUAAACGAUGAAUACUCGCUGUUUGCGAUAUACAGUAAGCGGCCAAGCGAAAGCAUUAAGUAUUCCACCUGGGGAGUACGCCGGCAACGGUGAAACUCAAAGGAAUUGACGGGGGCCCGCACAAGCGGAGGAACAUGUGGUUUAAUUCGAUGAUACGCGAGGAACCUUACCCGGGCUUAAAUUGCAUUUGAAUAAUCUGGAAACAGGUUAGCCGCAAGGCAAAUGUGAAGGUGCUGCAUGGUUGUCGUCAGCUCGUGCCGUGAGGUGUCGGCUUAAGUGCCAUAACGAGCGCAACCCUUAUCUUUAGUUACUAACAGGUCAUGCUGAGGACUCUAGAGAGACUGCCGUCGUAAGAUGUGAGGAAGGUGG